UGGGAAUGCGAACAUGAGUAAGGUUAAGGGGAGUAAAAACCCCCCACGCCGGAAGACCAAGGUUUCCUGUCCCAUGCUAAUCAGGGCAGGGUAAGUCGGCCCCUAAGGCGAGGCAGAAAUGCGUAGUCGAUGGGAAACGGAUUAAUAUUUCCGUACUUAUAUAAUCAGUGAUGGAGGGACGGAGAAGGCUAAGCAAGCUUGGCGUUGGUUGUCCAAGUGAAAGCAAGUAGGCCGAGAAUUUAGGUAAAUCCGGAUUCUUAAAGCUGAGAUGCGAGACGAGCUACUACGGUAGUGAAGUUGUUGAUGCCCUGCUUCCAGGAAAAGCUUCUAAACUUAUGAUUAUAUGAACCGUACCCCAAACCGACACAGGUGGUCAGGUAGAGAAUACUAAGGCGCUUGAGAGAACUCGGGUGAAGGAACUCGGCAAAAUUGUACCGUAACUUCGGGAGAAGGUACGCCCUUGUUUGUGAUAGGACUUGCUCCUUGAGCAGAUGAGGGCCGCAGUGACCAGGUGGCUGGGACUGUUUAUUAAAAACACAGCACUGUGCAAACACGAAAGUGGACGUAUACGGUGUGACGCCUGCCCGGUGCCGG
rnacentral:rRNA from 13 species